GACGAACGCUGGCGGCGUGCCUAAUACAUGCAAGUAGAACGCACAGUUUAUACCGUAGCUUGCUACACCAUAGACUGUGAGUUGCGAACGGGUGAGUAACGCGUAGGUAACCUGCCUGGUAGCGGGGGAUAACUAUUGGAAACGAUAGCUAAUACCGCAUAAUAUUAAUUAUUGCAUGAUAAUUAAUUGAAAGGUGCAAUUGCACCACUACCAGAUGGACCUGCGUUGUAUUAGCUAGUAGGUGAGGUAACGGCUCACCUAGGCGACGAUACAUAGCCGACCUGAGAGGGUGAUCGGCCACACUGAGACUGAGACACGGCCCAGACUCCUACGGGAGGCAGCAGUAGGGAAUCUUCGGCAAUGGACGAAAGUCUGACCGAGCAACGCCGCGUGAGGGAAGAAGGUUUUCGGAUCGUAAAGCUCGGUUGUAAGAGAAGAACGGGUGUGAGAGUGGAAAGUUCACACUGUGACGGUAUCUUACCAGAAAGGGACGGCUAACUACGUG
rnacentral:rRNA from 1 species